rnacentral:rRNA from 1 species
GACGAACGCUGGCGGCGUGCUUAACACAUGCCAGUCGAACGCUGAAGCUCAGCUUUUGUUGGGUGGAUGAGUGGCGAACGGGUGAGUAACACGUGAGUAACCUGCCCCCUUCUUUGGGAUAACGCCCGGAAACGGGUGCUAAUACUGGAUAUUCACUGGUCUUCGCAUGGGGGCUGGUGGAAAGGGUUUUUCUGGUGGGGGAUGGGCUCGCGGCCUAUCAGCUUGUUGGUGGGGUGAUGGCCUACCAAGGCUUUGACGGGUAGCCGGCCUGAGAGGGUGACCGGUCACAUUGGGACUGAGAUACGGCCCAGACUACUACGGGAGGCAGCAGUGGGGAAUAUUGCACAAUGGGCGCAAGCCUGAUGCAGCGACGCCGCGUGAGGGAUGGAGGCCUUCGGGUUGUGAACCUCUUUCGCUCAUGGUCAAGCCGCAACAAUGGUUGUGGUGAGGGUAGUGGGUAAAGAAGCGCCGGCUAACUACGUG